rnacentral:rRNA from 1 species
CGCCGCGGUUACACGAGAGGUCCAAGUUGACAAACAACGGCGUAAAGAGUGGUUAAGAACAAACAUAAACUAAAGCCGAACAGUUCACAAAGUCAUCUUCAAGCUAACGAGAACAUGAAGCCCCACUACGAAAGUAGCUUUACAUUACCCUGAACCCACGAAAGCUAAGGAA